rnacentral:rRNA from 1 species
UACGUAGGGCGCAAGCGUUGUCCGGAAUUACUGGGCGUAAAGAGCUCGUAGGUGGUUUGUCGCGUUGUUCGUGAAAACUCACAACUCAAUUGUGGGCGUGCGGGCGAUACGGGCAGACUGGAGUACUGCAGGGGAGACUGGAAUCCUGGUGUAGCGGUGGAAUGCGCAGAUAUCAGGAGGAACACCGGUGGCGAAGGCGGGUCUCUGGGCAGUAACUGACGCUGAGGAGCGAAAGCGUGGGGAGCGAACAGG